rnacentral:lncRNA from 1 species
UUUUUUUUUAGGUUCAUGUGUUUUUCAUGGUUCUCGUGACCUCUGCAGAAGCCCCAGCUCUGGAAAGAAAGAAGGAGCUGUUAAAUCCAGAACAUUUUCCUUAGAAUGUAUUUAUCAAAUCAGAGAUGAAAAGAAAAUGAAGGAACUGGGCCACAAGGAAGAAAAGAAGUGAAGAAUCCAAUACAAUCUGGGUCAUUUCAAACCAGCCACAGAGAACCUGCAUUUGGGGGACAUAUUUCAGGGAAGACACAGCCUACCAUUCAGAAUCCUCCCGAAUCUAUGAGACAAAGUGCUUCGGUGAAGCUCAGAGAUUCAGUUUGGAGUUGCUACCAAAGCCUUCCCAUUGGAGAUCUUCCCAGAGAGAUGAUCCUUCUGCCUUCAGUUCAAUUGGCCUUUUUGGGGGCGCUUCAUGCUUGUUGACCAUGACGGUAGGAGGCUAAAGAGGCCACCGAACGAAUGCUCCCCUUGCUGUCAAGGGAUUCCUAGACUCGAAGUGUCAAGUAUAUUGAACAUCAAAACCGCCCUUGGCUCUAGUUCCUUGAAUGCAUUCUAUCAGCCAUCAUCAGCUGUCAUCACUUCAAUCUUCUUCUGGAAAACCUUUCCUGAAAUACAGGCAGACACGAGCUGAAAUCAGUACUUCAUGAUCGGCAUUUUCCGGUAAGUUGCCUUGCCUCUCCGUGCCUGUUUCCUCAUCUGUAAACAUGGAGAUAAUUAGGUUGAAGGAGUUAAUGUCUGUGCUUAAUCUGGCUCAUGUUGCAUAUAUAUUAUAUUUAUUGUAUAAUUAUACACACACAUAUAUAUAUGUAUAUAUUUUUUUUUUUUUUUAGAGAGAGAGGAAAUGUG